rnacentral:sRNA from 1 species
AAGAAUACGAAAGGUCCUCUCCUCCUCCCUGGACCGAUCGUUUCGGCGGCACCCUCCUCCUCCUCCCUGAGGGUGCCGCCAACCAGAUACCGAGGGCCCUAUCCUCCUCCCUGGGCCCAAGGG